rnacentral:lncRNA from 1 species
CUGCUGUCAAAGCUCUUUGCGCAGUCGCGUUCGUUGACCUCGUGUGAACGUGUUUGCAAUGCUUAAAAUUUAAACAAAACAGAAUUAUUAAUUUUAUAGCUAAAAGUCAUACAAUGAUUGCUGAUUGUAUAAAGGUCUUUGGGCGCUUCGCUAUGGUAAGUCAACAAAGGAAAAGGAUGGAACUCAGAGCUACUGAGUUGGAGUUGAAUUGAAGAAAUUUAUGGUCGAGAGAGGAGCACUUUUGUAAGUACCUAAUAAACAUGUGCCUUAUUAUUUAUCCCAGAUACAAUUUUAGCAUAUUUUCACAGCGGAACUUAGUCAAAAGCCACGAGGAAAUUGUUGCCUUCGGUUACAAUAAAUGCAUAAUGGUAAUCUAUUCUAUUUUCAGCUAUUUGUCACAUUUCAAAUGUAUUUCCUCUUGCUUUCCUACUCGCCUCUUUCCGCCCUAGGACUGCAGUUUUUAUGUAGCAUGCAAAUUAAAAUAAAAUUUGUAGCUUUUUUAUUGGAUUUUUAUCAACUGGUGAAUGACAGCCCCGGCCGCCGGAGAGGGUCAGUAGCGACGAACAUGGAGCAUCGAGCAGCGAGCAUCGAGCUUGACAUGGACAUGGACAUCUGUUUGGAAAAUCAAAAUCGUCGUCUGUCUGUCUCUCCCUCUCCAUUUCUUGCUAGCUCUUCUGGCAUGUCGAUUCGGAUGAAAUUUAAAUCAAAUGUCUGUCGAUCCAUUCCUUUUCUCCGUAUGAUUGUACUCGGGAGAGGGCUGCUGCUGGAACCAAGCGAAAGACUUGUGAGUCAGUGGGCACCACUCGAGUGAAAAUAAAG